AAUCAACGCUGGCGGCGUGCCUCAGACAUGCAAGUCGAACGAUUAAACUUUCCUUCGGGAAAGAUAUAAAGUGGCGCACGGGUGAGUAACACGUAGAUAAUGUACCUUUGGGUGGGGAAUAACAGUCGGAAACGACUGCUAAUACCGCAUAAUGCAGCGGCAUCGCAAGAUGACAAUUGUUAAAGCGAGCAAUCGCGCCUAAAGAGCAGUCUGCGGCAGAUUAGGUAGUUGGUAAGGUAAUGGCUUACCAAGCCUGCGAUCUGUAACCGACCUGGGAGGGUGGUCGGUCACACUGACACUGAAUAACGGGUCAGACUCC
rnacentral:rRNA from 1 species